GAGGUCUUAGUAAAACAAUUACAUAACUUUGUCAAAGUUAAAUUACAGACUAAACCUCUGUAUUCCUCU
rnacentral:tRNA from 1 species